UUAAUCAUUCACUCUCCUAUAAGAUGCACAGAUACCCAAAGGGCAGAGAUCCAAGAACUCAUUUCAAUCUAAAUUCCUGUUGAGUUUUAAGUCUUUUCUUUUUCGCUUUUUGGAUUCAAUUCUGGUCCAAAAAUGCCUCUAGGAACUGUUGAAGUCCUACUUGUUGGUGCUAAGGGUCUUGAAAACACUGAUUUUCUCAAUGGCGUGGACCCUUAUGUCGUCCUCGCUUGCCGUACCCAGGAGCAGAAAAGCAGUGUUGCUUCAGGUAUUUAUGUCUCUAAUCGCUCUGAAUUCUUAGCUGCAUUUCUAAUUUUUACUUAUCAGAUUAGAUUAGAAAAGAUCAAGUAAUAUGUUAAUACUUGCUUUGGUGUGGUAAGCACAAGAGAUUAUUGGCAAAACUAUGCCUUCAAUAUGUAUGCAAUUGGCCUUGCAGUCAAGUGGAGCGUUUGUACCCAAGAUGGAGAUCAUACCCUUCUCCUUAAAAUUUCUGUUGUGCAAAAGAAAAGUUAUACAAUUUUGUGCAAUAUUGACAAAUAUAAAAUCCUACAGGGAAAGGAGUGAACCAGAAUGGAAUGAGAAAUUCUCAUUUGAGGUAUCAGAUGGUGACACAGAACUCACAUUGAAAAUCAUGGACAGUGAUGUUGGUGCUGCAGAUGAUUUUGUUGGAGAAGCAACGUGAGUGCAAGUUCCCCAUCUAUAUGUAACAAAUUAGAAUCUUCAUAAAUUCGGUUGAAUUUUCUAUGCAACACUGAAAAUAUAAAAUAUUGAUUACGGGUUCUGUGAUCCAUUCAGCAUUCCCUUGAGCCAUUGUUUUUGGAAGGAAACCUCCCAUCUACGGCGUACAAAGUUGUCAAAGAACAAGAAUACAAGGGAGAGAUUACAGUGGGCCUCACCUUCACCCCAGAGGUAGAGAUGGACAACGUCGGAGUGGAUGGAUACGAUUUUCGGUUAUAAUAUUAACUAGCAUCUUGGUGUGGAAAUGGCAAGGACUGCUUUUGGUUUGGAGAUGGCAAAGAGACUCUGUUUUUAACGUCGAUGUGUUGUGAGAACUUGUUUUGAUGUUGCAAAUAAUACCGAUGUGUUUUAAGAA